rnacentral:rRNA from 1 species
UACGUAGGGCGCAAGCGUUGUCCGGAAUUAUUGGGCGUAAAGAGCUCGUAGGCGGUUUGUCGCGUCUGCCGUGAAAACCCGAGGCUUAACCUCGUGGCUUGCGGUGGAUACGGGCAGACUAGAGGUAGGUAGGGGAGAAUGGAAUUCCCGGUGUAGCGGUGAAAUGCGCAGAUAUCGGGAGGAACACCGGUGGCGAAGGCGGUUCUCUGGGCCUUACCUGACGCUGAGGAGCGAAAGCGUGGGGAGCAAACAGG